rnacentral:lncRNA from 1 species
UUUUCUUUUUUUUUUUUUUUUUGUUUUCUAUUCUAUUCUAUUUCUUACGCCCCUUUACCCCUGCGGUAGACCAUCCUGCGAACUGCUCCGUCGUCAGCCCCAUUUCUUCCGCCCCUUUACUCCUGCGUUUUUUUUCCUGCGAACUGCUCCUUCAUUAGCCCCAUUUUUACCCCUUUUUCCUACGGUUUUUACCCAUUCUUACGCCCCUUUGCCUCUUGCAUUUUUACCCCUUUUGCCCGCGGGUUGCUUACCCUACGCACCCCUGCAAUCGAACUCGAGGUCUCCUUCUCUUCACUCUUCGAACUCGAGCUCUCCCUGCAAUCGAAAUCGAGGUCUUCCUUUAUGGGCCUUGGAUGUAUCUUUAAAGAGCAUCAGUCAUUAUAUAUGGAAUCGAGUUUUAACAGGGCCAUUUGCUUUGGUUGUCAUUUAUUGAGGAUGACACUGUAAAUGUUUCAUCUGCUUGAGAAUGAAAUCCCUUUCCAAUCAGUAUACAAACCGGAGAUUGUUUGUUUUGAUGAGAUUGUUUUCCACAUCAGGAGUUGAAGUAGUUGGAGUUUGGAUAUUCGCUAUGGAGCAAAGUCCACACUCCCAUAUUUUAUCAGCACGUGCAAAACUUG